CCUACGGGAGGCAGCAGUGAGGAAUAUUGGUCAAUGGACGAGCGUCUGAACCAGCCAAGUAGCGUGAAGGAUGACUGCCCUAUGGGUUGUAAACUUCUUUUAUAAAGGAAUAAAACGAGGCACGUGUGCCUUUUUGCAUGUACUUUAUGAAUAAGGAUCGGCUAACUCCGUGCCAGCAGCCGCGGUAAUACGGAGGAUCCGAGCGUUAUCCGGAUUUAUUGGGUUUAAAGGGAGCGUAGAUGGGUUGUUAAGUCAGUUGUGAAAGUUUGCGGCUCAACCGUAAAAUUGCAAUUGAUACUGGCAGUCGUGAGUACAGUUGAGGUAGGCGGAAUUCGUGGUGUAGCGGUGAAAUGCUUAGAUAUCACGAAGAACCCCGAUUGCGAAGGCAGCUUACUAAACUGUGACUGACAUUGAUGCUCGAAAGUGUGGGUAUCAAACAGGAUUAGAUACCCCUGUAGUC
rnacentral:rRNA from 1 species